GAGUGGCGUGUGGAGGGGUCGAGGAGUGGUUAGAUGGAGGGAGGAAAUGGCAUGGGCAGGUCCGGCGCGCACUGCAUUGGUGACCCAAAACAGGCUCCGUGGGUUUUCUGGCUUGGGUUUGGCAGACUGGGGGAGCACGCCGGACGCGGUCAGUGCGAGGAGAGAGAGAAAGAGGGAGGGAGGGGCCGUUGGGGGUAGGUCAGGCAUGCUGCUGCCACUGGGCGUUCACGCUGUCUGUCGCUCAUGGUGCCGCGCUUUGAGAUUCAGAGCGAGUCGUGGCUUGUUGGUGGUGGCUCAACUCCGACGGCAACAGGAUUUGAGAAACGAACCAUGGAAACGGCAGGAAUUAUGAAAGCUUUGUUUCACUUGGCUGCUGGUGCGUAACGCAGCAGGUGUCUCGUUGGAGUCCAUUUUUUUUUCUAGAAACCGUUGGAGUCCAAGUGUGGUGCACGAGGUUGCGCCAGGCCGUCCAAGCUGCUCUCGCACAAAAAUAAAGAGGGUUGUCACACUUGUCUUGCUCUCUCUCUCUCUAAAAAAAAACACUUGUCUUGCACCCA